GUCGCGUCUCGGCCUUUUGGCUGAGAUCAAGUGUAGUGUCCGUUCUGAUCGGGUUAAUACCUGAUAUGCCCUCUACCCGAGGACGCUAUAGUAAAUGGCUUUUUGGAGCAGGGAAGUGGAGCAGGAACUUGCUCCGCUCAUUACACGCGUCGACCUGGUAUUGCAGUACCUCCAGGAAUGGUGAGGAGAGU